AUUGAACGCUGGCGGCAGGCCUAACACAUGCAAGUCGAGCGGAUGAAGGGAGCUUGCUCCUGGAUUCAGCGGCGGACGGGUGAGUAAUGCCUAGGAAUCUGCCUGGUAGUGGGGGAUAACGUCCGGAAACGGGCGCUAAUACCGCAUACGUCCUGAGGGAGAAAGUGGGGGAUCUUCGGACCUCACGCUAUCAGAUGAGCCUAGGUCGGAUUAGCUAGUUGGUGGGGUAAAGGCCUACCAAGGCGACGAUCCGUAACUGGUCUGAGAGGAUGAUCAGUCACACUGGAACUGAGACACGGUCCAGACUCCUACGGGAGGCAGCAGUGGGAAAUAUUGGACAAUGGGCGAAAGCCUGAUCCAGCCAUGCCGCGUGUGUGAAGAAGGUCUUCGGAUUGUAAAGCACUUUAAGUUGGGAGGAAGGGCAGUAAGUUAAUACCUUGCUGUUUUGACGUUACCAACAGAAUAAGCACCGGCUAACUUCGUG
rnacentral:rRNA from 1 species